CACAGAUUUGAUUGUUCUGAGCCGAUAGAAAUCAUCAAGCCAAGCUCCUCCUACUAGCCUUACCGUCUCUCUCCCUGCUAUUGGGAUAACCAAACCCUAACCCCCACCAAAUCUCCCAGUCCUCAAACCCUAGCUUAUACUCUAUCAAUUUCUAUCAUAGCCACUGCUUCUUCUCUUCAUAACCUCAUUUAUCUCAAAGCUUCCAUUGUCAGACAUGGACCUCCAGCGAGCUAUGCUAGACGAACUCAUGGGUUCUGAUCGUAAUUUGACGGAGGAAGAGAAGAAAGAGUACAAGGAAAUUACGUGGGAUUCUAAGGAGGUCUGUCCAUACUAUAUGGCUCGAUUUUGUCCACAUGACCUCUUUGUUAACACCAAAAGUGAUCUAGGGCCAUGUGAUAGGAUUCAUGAUCCAAAGUUGAAAGAAAGCUUUGAGAGUUCCCCAAGACACGACAGAUAUCUGCCCAAAUUUGAAGCUGAACUUGCUCAGCGUUGUGAGAAAUUGGUCAUGGAUUUGGAUAGAAGAGUUAGGCGUGGAAGAGAACGCCUUGCUCAAGGGGAGGAACCAAUACCACCUCCUCCACUGUCAGCUGGAAAGUCUGAACAGUUAUCUGUGGUGGAGGAGAAAAUAAAGAACCUGCUGGUGCAAGUGGAAUCCCUUGGUGAAGCUGGGAAGGUGGAUGAAGCUCAAGCACUUAUGAAAAAGGUGGAUGAACUCAAUUCUGAGAAGGCCUUGAUUCAAUCCCAGAGCGAUCAAUUAUUGAUGGUUCCAUGGGAAGAAAAGAUGGCCUUGUGUGAGAUUUGUGGUUCUUUUCUAGUAGCAAAUGAUGCUGCUGAGAGGACUCAGUCUCAUGUCUUAGGGAAGCAGCACAUAGGUUACGGCAUGGUCCGAGAUUUCAUCACAGAGUACAAGGCAGCUAAGGAGAAGGCAAGGGAAGAGGAGAGACUAGCUAGGGAGAAGGAAGCUGAAGAACGAAGGAAGCAGAGGGAGAAGGAAUAUGAGAAGAGGAGGAGGAGGAGUGAUUCUAAUGAUAGGGACCGUUAUCAUGAUAGAGAUCAAGACAGGGAGAGGGACCGCAAUCGCGAACGUGAACGGGAUCAUGAAAGGUCACGAGAGUGGAAUGGUAGAGGUAGUGGGGAUGGAGGAAAGGGGACAGAGUGGAGGUCCAGGAAUGGAAGAGAGAGCGGCAGGGAUAGGUACCGUGACCGGAGUAGGUCACGGUCCCCUGUUAGACAUGGUCACAGGAGAUCACCUAAAAGUCCAGCUCACCAAUAUUAAAUGGAUUGGUAGAUAGAUAUCAGAGCUUUUAAAUUACAUGAGCUUUGUUGAGACUAUACCUCCCUUUCAUCAAUAUUAAUAGAGGAGAAAAGGGUUGAGGGUGGCAAUGCUUGAUAAAAUUAUUUUACCAGGUGACCAUCUGCUUGAUCUUCAUGAUAUGAUUUCAAUGUAACUUGUUAUCAUGUUGGCAAUCUACAAGGUAGGGAUGCUCAUUGUUCCUUCUUCUAGUGCCUUCACCAUUAUUUGGUGGGAACUUGAACCAUUGGGAUGGUGCAUGGGUUAUGCACAUGAGCUGCAGUUAAGGCCAAUGGUCAUUGCGUUUUUUAGGGUAAUAAAUGUAAAAGCUCCACACUCAUCUUCAUGCAGAAAUGGGUUUCCUUUUUUACAGAGUAGGUUAUUUUUGGAGUCAAACUUUCAAAACCAGUGUCAGACAAUUGUAGGUAACUACACUCUUCUUUGUAGAGUAAUUUUCAUAGCAUCUUAGCCUCGUAAAAGCAUAAUUGCUUUAAUAAUGUUUUGACACUUGUUUGAAAAUCUACUUCAGCGGACUGGGAUGCAAGGUUAAACUGCAUUGCAAAACCUGUUAACUUGCAAUUUUGUGGGUGCCUGGAGGUAAUUUGAACAUGUUUAUGAUAUGUCGAAUGGUAUGUUUCUAUUCUAGUUUGCAGGAAAGACAUGAAAUCUGGUGAACCCUGGUGGCAAUAUUUGCCGCAGUUAAGUGCAUCCCUAGGGAAUGAUUUGUUCAGGGGAAAAUAUUUUCUAAUUGAAAGAUACAGAACUGAGAUGUAAUGCCUCAAAGAAACCAUUUGUAAGAGCAACUUGCGACUGGCAUUAAUUUUCCACUAGCGCCAGGACUAUACGUUUUUUGGCAGGUC